AUAUCUCCCCAUACGCCGGUACAACCAACGCCACGUAUGGGGCCUGUCCCAACGCCGAAUAACCUACGCCACGCGGGACCUCAAUAUUCAUAUCACAAAUCUCCCCAUACGCCGGUACAACCAACGCCACGUAUGGGGUCUAUCGACACGCCGGAUAACCUACGCCACGUGCGACCUCAACACAAUAUCACAUAAUCUCC
rnacentral:lncRNA from 1 species